UACGGAAGGUGCAAGCGUUGUUCGGAAUUAUUGGGCGUAAAGCGCGUGUAGGUGGUUUUCCAAGUCUGGUGUGAAAUCCCACGGCUUAACCGUGGAACUGCAUUGGAAACUGGAAGACUUGAGUGUUGGAGGGGGUCGCGGAAUUCCCGGUGUAGAGGUGAAAUUCGUAGAUAUUCGGGAGGAACACCAGUGGCGAAGGCGGCGACCUGGCCAUCUACUGACACUGAGACGCGAAAGCGUGGGGAGCAAACAGG
rnacentral:rRNA from 1 species